rnacentral:lncRNA from 1 species
GGAAAAUUUCGUGCAAUCAAACGGGGCCUUAAUCUUCGUCUUCCUUUGCGUCUAUGCAUCUUGGACUUCGUUUGCAUCGCAGUCUUCUCAUUGAAGAACCCAGGUGAGUGAAUGGGGAAAAGAAUGAACAUUCUUCUUUUAAAUUUUAUUAGAGUAGGAUAUGUACAAUUGUCUUGUGAAAAUAAUAUAUCUGAUUAGGUAUUAGUGGCCCUAUUUUAAAACUUGAUUUUCUCCUGCCGCGAUUAGGUAUUAGUUGUGAUAUUUCGAUUGAUUCGUGGAAUUAGGACCAGUUUCAUCUGAAAUUUUUUUAAUUGUGGUUUUAUUUCUGUAAAUUUUCUAUGGGGUCAGUUUGUGAAGUAUUUUCUGUCUUUCGAUCUACCUAUGUGUUCUUUGAUUUUGUUUGUGGUUGUUUGAAAUUGAACACAUUUCGAAAACUGCAAUGUUGUUGUUUGAUAGAUUAGGAAUCUACAAAAGGAUUAAGUGCUUCAACUGAGGAAUAUAAGCUUCCAUCUCAGUUAGUUCAGAGAAACAUUAAAGGUAUACGGUAGAGGAAAUUUAUACUAUUGAUCUACAGCUUGAUCAAUUGCUUGUUAUUUUCAUUUACUAAUAAGCCUCUCUCUGUAGUACCGUGUGGAUCUUUACUUCUUGUGCUCUUUUCCAUAUUAAAGCAUCUAUUUGAGAGAGAAGCUUCCCAGAAGGUGGGGCUACCUUUAUAUUUACAAAGGUAACAGUGUUGUAAUUUGUAUGUUUUAAUGUGCAUUUUUGUCUAUUAUAAAUCUUUUGUAAUUCUUGAAUUCACACAACACAUUUGCUUGCUUUUGUGAGUAGUAGAUUUUAAAAUUAACAAGAAAGCCUUAUCCAUACUUAUCGAAAGGGGGCUUGGUGCGCAGAUAAAUCAUAAUUAGUUUUCUACUCCAUCCGACUUAUUCCUUUUUUUUUUAAUCAUCUCACAUAGCAUGUUUAGUCCACUUUCACUCUGUUAUGGAUAAUUGUUGAUUACGAAAGGCAUUAUGUAUGUAUGUGUGUUCUCUUUCCUCUUUUUUGUAGAAAAAUUUCUCCUCCUUGUAGGUUUUUCCAUUUUUUGUCAUUGCUUCAAAUUUUAUUUUUGGAGUUUCAAUACCUGUCAGUUUAGUUAGGCUAAAGCUUAAGUAACUUUUUUACAAACCGUGUUUUAGACAUUUUGGAAGUCCCAAAAAAGUUUAUUAAAAAAUGUUAAGGGACCGAAUUCUUCAAUCACCAUGGCAUUAUAUAGGCUCAAUGCCAAAACCAAAAUCAAUACCAAAAUCAAACGACCCAAGAACACCACAAAGGUUCCACCUAUGGUUGCUAGACCUUUUCCCACUUAGAGACCACCACAAAGGAGGAGGAAUAUCACCAAGACAAUCAACACAAAGAAAAGUGGCAGAAGGCAGUAGAGUAGGCUGAGAAAGAGAGCACGCAGAGAGUAGAGAAGAAGACACCAAGCCUAGUGAGGCGUGCAAGACCAAGUGACUAUAUAUUGGGCCAAGUCUCAAAUAAGGUAAGUUAGGUCUAGGUACUGGGUCAUGGCCCAAUAACAAUUAAGUAGAAAAUGGAAUGGGCCUCAAGUGUUGUUCGCCAUCCAAGUAGGUAGAAACUUGACCCAUGAGCAACAAAAUAUAAUUGGUUGCUUCAAAUGGUCCAAUAACUUCUUGGGUCGAGUCAUUCCAAUUUUUGGUAUUGAUAUAUCGUUUAGUCAUAUUGCAAAUGUCGACUGAUAAUUAAUAACUGGUUUACAUCAUCAUCUAGGAGGUCGUUUGACAACAAUAUGUCUAAUAUUCACUUUUUUGAAGCUUAGCCAAAAUGAAUAUAAGGUGCAAUGUCUAUCUCAAUCCUACAUAAUUGGUUAUGAUGCAUCUACUGAAGAAAAAACUUGUUCCUAUUCCUGUGAAACGUCUCCUUCUUUAUUUUAAAGGUCUGCCUGCUUCAACUUGAUACAUCACUUAUCUGGUACCGUUGAAUAUUGUUCAAUUCAAUAUUUCAAUUUGCUUUAAAUGUCAAAAAAUGUUAAAAGUAGACAUGGUCAAGAUAAUUUAUGAACAUUUUAUGAAAUUAAAUGUAAAUAUUGUCCAAUUAUUUUUUGGGCAAAUUUACUUAAGUUUGAGGAUUCAUAUCAUGAAAUUUACAAUCUUUUAGUCUGAACGUCAAUUUUAUAAACAUUCACUUUGUGCAAAAUGCUAGAAUUUCCCACGCUUGACUGGUCACAGAAUAGCUUGAAAGUCUGCAGGUAUAUACAGUUCUUUUGACUUGCUUUCCCAUAAGGUAAGUCAUUUACUAGUAGAUUCAAAAGCACAUACAUGUUGCUGGAAGCUUCCUAGUUGAUCUAUUUUUUUUUAUUUCUCCCUUUCCUAGUUCUUUGUGAUUUAAUUCUCUUAGAAAUCAGCACUGAUGCAUGUUCCGUAUUAAUAAGUCCCAAAAAUUGAAUCUCAAACUUAAAUAAAUUUUUAGCUAUUUUAGUGUUGUCUUGUCCGUUGCAUCAAUUUUAUGGAACAAAGCUGCAUCUCCAUAUAUAGCAAAUUAGGUAGAUAAAGAUGCUUUUUAUUUCCUGAAGUUGCUCAGCAUCAUAUUGAAUAUUGCCCUUGAUGUUGCCUUCAACAUUGCCACUGCAGAAGCUCCCAGAAUUGGAUGACUUGGAGUGUUCAUGGACUAUAAGGUCAUGGAUGAUGGUGUUAAUGUAAUGGUUAUAUAUGGCCCUGGUCUGAGAAGCGAAGCUGGUGAUUAUAAUUGCUUUCUCAACGUCAUAAUACUGGUUGGUAUUGGGAAGUAUGCUUUCAUUUGUUGUUUUCUAUUGAGUUUUCUUUCUCUGUCCAUUGUUUUCUUUCAUGGUAAAAUAUUCCUUGGCCCUAAGAUAUUGACUCUAUCUGGAAUUCAGUCCUUGUGGCACUUGAAUUCUGCUCUUUGCAUUGCAAUAUUAAUCUUUCUAUUUUCUACUACUAAUUUUUGUUUCAUCUUUCAUAUGGUAGUGUUAGCCCUUUCUUGGUGUUCGUGAUUUCAGUGAAGGAUUAAGGUGUGAGAUAAAAGAUGGAAGAUGGAAGCAUAUGAAUGUUGACAGCAAAGUCGCUGAAGUUAAUUUUGUACUAAAAUCGACUUAUUUGCGAGAUUGUUGAAUUUUGUUUUAUUGAUGUAUUAUAGGUCAUCUUUGUAUGGAUUCAAAAAUUUGUAAUGAAAUUAUUAUCAAUUUUG